rnacentral:rRNA from 1 species
AAGUCGAACGAAAGCCAGUCUGUAGCAAUAUAGGCUGGUGAAAGUGGCGGAAGGGUGAGGAACACGUGGAUAACCUGCCUUUGAGUUGGGGAUAACCCCGCGAAAGCGGGACUAACACCGGAUAUGAUGGUUUGCCGCAUGGUGGAUUAAUCAAAGAUGGGGAGCCGCAAGGCCCUGUCGCUCAAAGAGGGGUCCGCGUCCUAUCAGCUUGUUGGCGGGGUAACGGCCCACCAAGGCUUACGGGUAGCUGGUCUGAGAGGAUGGUCAGCCACACUGGGACUGAGACACUGCCCAGACUCCUACGGGAGGCUGCAGUCGAGGAUCAUUCGCAAUGGGCGCAAGCCUGACGGUGCGACGCUGCGUGGAGGAUGAAGGCCUUCGGGUUGUAAACUCCUGUCGUGUGGGAACAAUAGUCUGGCCGUUAACACCGGCUGGAAAUGAUAGUACCGCAAAAGGAAGCCACGGCUAACUCUGUGCCAGCAGCCGCGGUAAUACAGAGGUGGCGAGCGUUGUUCGGAUUUACUGGGCGUAAAGGGUGCGUAGGUGGCUUUGUAUGUCGGGCGUGAAAUCCCACUGCUCAACGGUGGAACGCCGCCCGAAACUGCAGGGCUCGAGUGCAGGAGAGGAGAGCGGAAUUCUUGGUGUAGCGGUGGAAUGCGUUGAUAUCAAGAAGAACACCAGUGGCGUAGGCGGCUCUCUGGAAUGCAACUGACACUGAGGCACGAAAGCGUGGGGGGCAAACAGGAUUAGAUACCCUGGUAGUCCACGCCCUAAACGGUGCACACUUGGUGUAGGAGGAAUUGACCCCUUCUGUGCCGGAGCUAACGCGUUAAGUGUGCCGCCUGGGGAGUACGGUCGCAAGAUUAAAACUCAAAGAAAUUGACGGGGGCCCGCACAAGCGGAGGAGCAUGUGGCUUAAUUCGAUGCUACGCGAAGAACCUUACCAGGGUUUGACAUGCAGCUGCACGUCCCAUGAAAGUGGGAUUCCUUCGAGGGUGCUGCACAGGUGCUGCAUGGCUGUCGUCAGUUCGUGCCGUGAGGUGUUGGGUUAAGUCCCGCAACGAACGCAACCCUUGUAUUUAGUUGCCACCGUCGGCGCAAGCCGGCGCGCACUCUAAAUAGACUGCCCGUGAUAAGCGGGAGGAAGGUGGGGAUGACGUCAAGUCAGUAUGGCCUUUAUACCCUGGGCUGCACACGUGCUACAAUGGUCGGUACAGAGGGAUGCGAGUCCGCGAGGUGGAGCCAAUCCCAGAAAACCGGCCCCAGUUCGGAUUGAUGGCUGCAACUCGCCAUCAUGAAGUUGGAUUCGCUAGUAAUGGCGCAUCAGCUACGGCGCCGUGAAUACGUUCCCGGGCCUUGUACACACCGCCCGUCACAUCAUGAAAGCCGUCUGCACCCGAUGUCACUGUACCAACCCGCAAGGGGGGGAGGUGCCUAAGGUGUGGGUGGUGAUUGGGAUGAAGUCGUAACAAGGUA